rnacentral:rRNA from 1 species
AUUGAACGCUGGCGGCAUGCCUUACACAUGCAAGUCGAACGGCAGCACGGGAGCAAUCCUGGUGACGAGUGGCGAACGGGUGAGUAAAGCAUCGGAACGUGCCCAGUCGUGGGGGAUAACGUAGCGAAAGCUACGCUAAUACCGCAUACGAUCUGUGAAUGAAAGCGGGGGACCGUAAGGCCUCGCGCGAUUGGAGCGGCCGAUGUCAGAUUAGGUAGUUGGUGAGGUAAAGGCUCACCAAGCCGACGAUCUGUAGCUGGUCUGAGAGGACGACCAGCCACACUGGGACUGAGACACGGCCCAGACUCCUACGGGAGGCAGCAGUGGGGAAUUUUGGACAAUGGGCGCAAGCCUGAUCCAGCAAUGCCGCGUGCAGGGUGAAGGCCUUCGGGUUGUAAACUGCUUUUGUACGGAGCGAAACGGCUUCCACUAAUACUGGGGGCUAAUGACGGUACCGUAAGAAUAAGCACCGGCUAACUACGUGCCAGCCGCCGCCGUAACAC